AGGAUGGGCCCGCGGUCCAUUAGCUAGUUGGUAAGGUAACGGCUUACCAAGGCGACGAUGCGUAGCCGACCUGAGAGGGUGAUCGGCCACACUGGGACUGAGACACGGCCCAGACUCCUACGGGAGGCAGCAGUAGGGAAUCUUCCGCAAUGGACGAAAGUCUGACGGAGCAACGCCGCGUGAGCGAUGAAGGCCUUCGGGUCGUAAAGCUCUGUUGUUAGGGAAGAACAAGUACCAUUCAAAUAGGGUGGUACCUUGACGGUACCUAACGAGAAAGCCACGGCUAACUACGUGCCAGCAGCCGCGGUAAUACGUAGGUGGCAAGCGUUGUCCGGAAUUAUUGGGCGUAAAGCGUGCGCAGGCGGUCUCUUAAGUCUGAUGUGAAAGCCCACGGCUCAACCGUGGAGGGUCAUUGGAAACUGGGAGACUUGAGUACAGAAGAGGAGAGUGGAAUUCCAUGUGUAGCGGUGAAAUGMGUAGAUAUAUGGAGGAACACCAGUGGCGAAGGCGACUCUCUGGUCUGUAACUGACGCUGAGGCGCGAAA
rnacentral:rRNA from 1 species